CUGGAAUUCACAUGAAGAAAAGCUAAAUGUGGCAGCAUUUGAUUUUGAACCCAGCAUUCGGGAGGAAGAGAUAGGCAAAUGUCAGGGGGUGUUCUGAACAGCCAGCCUAGUGUACUCACUAAGUUCCGGGCCAGUGAGAGACUCUGUCUCUGAAAUGAGGUGGACUGUACCUAAGGAAGGACACCCAAGGCUUUUGGCUGGCCUUCACAUGCACACACACAUAGGUGCUCCCAUGCAUCCAUGAACAUACACACAGAGCAAACAACACAGUGAAUGAUGACGGAAGCAUUUUUUUUAUGACACAAGACAUCUUAAACCUGACCAAGGAAAAGAGAAAGAUAGCCCAGGGACUACACUUCACCACAUGGGCUGUCACCAAUCUCCUGCCACCUGUUUGAGGCACCCAUCCAAUUCUUGGCAUGGAAUGAAUUUUAAAUCUUGACUCAAAGUGAAAAUGAAUGCAGGUGGCUAGUGGCUGAAAGAGGCCUCUUCGAAGACCUUCCCUAACUAAGGUAUGAAAUGUCUAAGCCAUCCAAUAUGUGGGCAGGUCACAUUAUUAAAUUGAAAGUCCCUAGUAUAUUUAUGCAGUGUAUCCUACAGUUUUCAGGUUAAAGCCUUGGAAACAGUUCCUCACAGCAAAAAAGACUCGGAAUAAUCUACCAUAGUUUUUAGGUGAAGUGUUUUUAAAUAUGUCUUCAUCUAUUCACAUCCACCCCAGUCAGCUUUUAACUGGCAACUCAACCACCCUAGAGUCAUCUGAGAACAGUCUCAUAUGAGGACUUGUCAGAUUUACCUGUGGGCAAGUCUCAGCUGGGAUUGUCCUGACUGUUUCUGUGCUGGUGACAGAAUCUCACUAUGCAGCCUGGCUGGCCUCAAACUCACAGAGAACUGCUUGACGUUGCCUCCAAAAGUCAUGAGCAAGCACAAUAGUUGUCUUGAUUGUUAAUUGAUGUAGCAGGGCCCAGCCCACUGUGGGUGGUACCAUUCCCUGAACAGAUGGUCUUGAACUGUGUAAGAAAGUUAGAUGAGCAUGAGCCUAGGAGCCAGCCAGCACACAGUGGUUUUCCACUUCUUAUGCUUCACACUUCUGCUUGAGUUCCUGCCCUGACUCCCCACCCCCUCCCCCCAUGAUGGACUGUGAGCUGAAGUAAGCCCUUUCCUCCCCCAGGUUGCUUUGGUUAUGGUACUUGUCGCAGCAUGUAAAAUCAGGGCAACACAUACACCUGCCCACCUGCUCAUGUUUUUGCAGAAUCAGACACACAAAUGCUGCAGCUGUUCACUGGCUCUCGUACCUCAACAUCAAGGAUACCAGCUUUUAAAGUGUAAGGUCUGAAACAAAGCUCACUACUGAGGACAAUGGACUGGCUUGAUGUUCCUUCUCUUGUGAGAAAGCAAGCUUGGUGCAGCACAGAGUUAGCCCCCAGGACCAAGCUCAUUCCAUUCGCCACAGGUCUAAACACACACAGAGCCACAGGUGCCAUCCUCAGCCCAUGCUUACAUGGGAAAGGACAGCUGCAUGGCACAGCUGUGGCUCCUAGUGGCUUUGAUGUUCCUAGCAGUCCUAGGUCUGGCCAGCACACUUCUCUCUGUAGGUCUAUUAGACAGUGGUCCAGUCUACUGUUGAGUGGCAGGUCUGAAUCCCCUAAUACUUGAGCUCUGAGUUUGGAGCAUCACACUUUCACUGUUCCUUGGCACAACUUGGACACUGGUAUCCUCUGGGAACUGUUGCAGAGUUCCCUGUACUCCACCUUUGUAAAAUUGUCCAUGAAGUUUUCAUGUCUGCCAAUUAGGUCUUCACAUUUAUGCCUACUGUAAAUGAAAUGACAAUAACAACAUCAACAACAACAAAAUCCAAACAGCCACCAUGAAAACAAAACCCACAAUUCACACAGCUUGCCCUCGAGGAGAAGAGCAUCCAGGAAGUCACCAUCCCAGGACGUUUCCAAACCUUGCCCCGCUCCUCACUUUCAGGUGGAUGAAGUUGUGGUGUGGUGGGUGGCAGAGGGUGGUGCUGCCCAAACUGUUCUGUGGCAUCUGGAGGCAGACUGGGGCUGCCACUCAGGACUGGCACUGUGGACUUGGCCCAUGAGCACCCAAAAGGUUGAGGCAGAUGUGGAGAAGCCCCUUAAAAAUGGUACCAGUUUGUCCUCUGACAAUUAAGGACUACAUCAAAAAUGCUGUUGAUGGUGCCUCCGAACACCGUGUGAAGACAGGUAACAUGACACCCUUCUCUAUAGGGACUUUAGCUGCUGACAGACUGCUUGCUUCUGGGGAUGUUGUGUGUUGCCUUUCAUGUCAGCACAGAGUUGAGAGAGGGGCAAAUUGCCAAAUUCACUCACUUUAAAGUCCUCUGGGGGGCACUCAUGGGAGGCCCUGUACACAAGAGCUCCCUGCCUCUGUCACAGCUAACAGGUUGGGCACUCCUUACAUAUCACAGCAUAGCUGCAUGCCUAGCAGUUAGCUGGGAGAGAUGAGGAUAUGUUGAUAUGCUGUCAGGAACACCCCUGGGAAAAAGAGCUCCCUAAAAGGAAGGCCAAUGGCUCUCUUCUGAUGCUCUGAGUUUUCAGUACAUCACAGCGGAGGAACAUGGCAGAGAAAAGACAUUAAACCCAUGGUAGCCAGGAAGGGUGUGUGUGUGUGUGUGUGUGUGUGUGUGUGUGUGUGUGUGAGUUUUCCUUGCCAGGAAAGCCAGGCUAUCCAGGCUUGGCUAGCAGCACUCCACUCUGGUAGGGAAAUCACAGGCUGGAGUGACCAUAGAGAAGCCUCAGAUCCUAAGUUGCUUUGGGAACUUCUGCCCAGUGUGAUGCCUCGUUCUGCUUUAGCACCGUCAGGAGGGAACUACCUGGGGUUUAAAAAAUGUCCCUCUGGGCUUCCUAUUCUGAGCUCUCCUCUUGUGUUUGGCAGGAGCUUGGAAUUUAGGAAGGGGCUACAGUCCAGCUCUGGCUACUAGGUGCCCAUGUGGGGAAGAGUUCCUAAUGGGUCCUUCUAUGGACUUAGGGCUUGAAGAGACCUGCAGGGCUCAGAGCUUUCCAGCCUGGCUAGGAUUUUUGUCACCAGGGAGCUUGGAAGCUUCAUUUACUGCCCCAGGAAAAGCCUAACCCUAUUCGCCACCAAGAGACUCACCCUGGUGAGGAGCUGGCUAGUGGUUAAAACCUGUGCCUUUUCCAGCCCUCUGUACUUUCCAAUGUUUGCCUGGUAGGUCUCGUUCAGGAAGACUGACUUCCACCCCAGAUGGGGGCACACAGUGCCCUGAGUUUUCUGAGGGACACUGAAGUUAAGGAAUGGCUACCCUGAGCUGUCAUGCUCUUCCAUAUCUUUGUAUUCCUAGCCAAUUGCUCUAUGCCUGGAUCUCUCACUGACACCCAGGGCUGAGAUUUCAAGGUGCACCUCAGGUUAAGUUACCCCUAAGGAGAAGGAGAAAAGCCUUGAAGACAUUUGUCUCCUCUCCAAUUCUAACCCAUGUCUUCCUUCUUCCUUUCCAGAACCUCCCCAGACUGCCAGAACUUUUGUUCUGGGCUCUCUCAACAAUGAAGCAAGUCACAUAUGUGCUAACGCACCUGACACUCUGUCCACCCUUCCACAGGGGAAACAAUAAAGAAAUGGCUGUAUCCUCUGAUUUUGGCCCCUUGUCUCCACCACCCAGCAAGCCACCAGAGGCUUGGAAUCUUUGUUCCUUGAUGCUUCCAUUAGUCAUCCUAAUCCCUGGCAGCUCAGCUAAGUUCCUGAUAACUGGAACCCCCUUUCAUUGGGUAUACAAAAGAUGUACCUCAACCUUGGGGCUUCCUGUGGGACCACCCAGGCCACACCCAGCAAGUGGCAUAAAAGCCAGUAUCAUCGCAACUUAACAAUAGUCAACUUAUAGAAAUAGAAUUGUGGCUGGUACAGAACCAGGCAAUUGUGACAGCCAAAGUAGAGCAGGACAGGAACAGCUUCCUUCUGCUCUCACAGGGACCUUAGAUGUGUCCCAGAUGGAUUUCUUUUGUCUGUUCAGAUAAACCUUGCAAGUGGGCAAGUCUCCUUUGUGCUUUCAGUCCUGAGCUCUUGAAAGCAAGUGGCUUAUGGGCUAGGCUUGCAGCUGUAUGUUUUUCUUUUAAAUUCUUUAAUUACUACUCAUAUUUACAUAUUCGUCCCCCCCAUUGCCUUGCCCUCCCUUCCUCCCAUGUUCCCCACCAAUCCGACCAACCCAUCCCCCAACUCCUCCCCAGGGAUAGUGAGGCCCUCCACGGGGGACCUUCGAAGUCCAUCAUAUCAUUUGGGGGAGGGCCUAGGCCCUCCUUGUAUCUGGGCUGCAAUAGUUUCCCUCCAUAGUGAAUGGGCUCCCAAAGUCCAUUUGUGUUCUAGGGAUAAAGACUGGCUCCACUGUUAGAGGUCCCAUAGACUGUCUUGGCCUCCUAGCUGGCACCCACAUUCUGAGGGCUUGGUUUGGUGCAAUGCUGUUUCCCAAAGCUUUAUGACUAGGGUCUCCAUGUUAUCGAUAGGUGAGGUCCACUGUUUCUUCAGGUUUCUCCAGCCCUGUCUUGGCUCCUUUGCUCCUCCCUCCUCCCUCUCCACAACUGGAUUUCAGUAGUAUAGUGCAGUGCUUAGCUGUGGGUGCCUGUUUCUGCUUCAAACAGCUACUGGAUGAAGGCUCUAGGAAUGGUAACCAAGGUAGACACCAAUCUCAUUAUAGGGGAAGGGCAUCAAAGGCAUUCUCUCCACCACUGCCUGGCUUCUUAGUUGGGGUCAUCCCUGUGAAUCCCCUAACAUUUCCCCUGUGCCAGACCUCUCUCCAAACCUGUACUGUCUCCCUCUAUCAAGGCAUCUCCUUUCUUGCCCUCCUCUAUUCCUCCCCUGUCUCAGUCCUCUUGUUCUCCUCCCCCCUCCUCUUUUUCCCUUCCCACCUCCUUCCCCUUCCCCGGCCCUGGGCUUCUACUUUGUUCAGGGGUUCUUGUCCCCAUCCUCUUCUUUGAGGGACUAUGCAAUCUUCUCUUGGGGUCCUCCUUGUUUCCUAGCUCCUCUGGAAGUGUGGAUUGUAGACUGAUAAUCCUUUGAUCCAUGUCUAAAAAUAAAAAGUGAG
rnacentral:lncRNA from 1 species